GUGUUCACUUUAACAGCACACAUACUGAAAUUGGAAUAAUACAGAGAAGGUUAGCAUGACCCCUGUGCAAGGAUGACAUGCAAAUUUGUGAAUAAUUCCAUAUGUUU